GUUGUUUCUAAGAAGCCGGUUCUGUCCGCAGAGGGGCAGACGGAGCACAGCACUAAACACCAGUGGCAGGUGAACCAGCAGCAGUUCUCAAAGGGGCCUUAGGAUGAGGAGGCGGUGGCGCAGGUGGGGAGAAAAGACCGAAGAGGCCUUUGGAGGGGUGAAACGAAUUGAAUUCAGUGACGGCUGUAGCGGUCUGACCCGGAAGAUAAAUGGGACGGCCACACCAGUGACCUGCAGAACAGGUUGCAGGGAAAGGCCCUUACAAACCCAAGUAUGACCCAAAGAGCAGUGGUUCUGACACCGUCUAGAAGCUGUCAGAAAGGCAGACUCCCAGGCCUCGCCUCUGGCCUCCGGAAUCCGGAUCUGCAUUUUAACAGGAUCUGCAGUUUGACUCACAGGGUAGUCCCAGCUCCCGGUGCUUAAAGCUGUCUCCUUGUAGAAGAGAAACAGGGCCACAGGUGGCACUGCUGUCACACCUUUUCCUCUCACGCGCUCUUACGGAGGAUGCGCGAGACUGGUAUCUCUACAGAGACCAACGUUCCCAGUGGAAGAACUCAACACGAAGCAUCAUUUCCGUGUUUAAUGUAAUCUCCCCAAGUAAGUACGAAUUCCCUUUGGAUACAGCGGUUUUUGUAAUUUUCCUGAGUAAAUGCUCCU